UGCAGUCUCUCUUCGAUUUUUUCUCUCAGUUUGUCAUCAAGUACUAUAUGAACAAACUGAAUAUCAACCUGCCUAAAUUGCUGAACAUGCUAAAAAUAGCAGAGAGCCAUUUCAAAUAUGAAAAGGCUCCAAUUCUUCUUGUUGAUAAGAUCAACAAGAAGAAAGGCAAGAAGGGCUUCAAGAAAAAAUUGAAUCUUAAGGCUGGCUGUUGGAAAAUGUAUCUCAAAAAGCCAAUCGUCAAGCUGUUGAUGGUUGAGCAACCAAGUAUUAUAAUUGA
rnacentral:lncRNA from 1 species